UGGGGAAUAUUGGGCAAUGGGCGAAAGCCUGAUCCAGCGAUACCGAGUGAGUGAUGAAGGCCCUAGGGUUGUAAAGCUCUUUUAGCAAGGAAGAUAAUGACGUUACUUGCAGAAAAAGCCCCGGCUAACUCCGUGCCAGCAGCCGCGGUAAGACGGAGGGGGCUAGCGUUGUUCGGAAUUACUGGGCGUAAAGAGUGCGUAGGCGGUUUAGUAAGUUGGAAGUGAAAGCCCGGGGCUUAACCUCGGAAUUGCUUUCAAAACUACUAAUCUAGAGUGUAGUAGGGGAUGAUGGAAUUCCUAGUGUAGAGGUGAAAUUCUUAGAUAUUAGGAGGAACACCGGUGGCGAAGGCGGUCAUCUGGGCUACAACUGACGCUGAUGCACGAAAGCGUGGGGAGCAAACA
rnacentral:rRNA from 1 species